rnacentral:rRNA from 1 species
GAGUAACGCGUGAGUAACCUGCCCUGGAGUGGGGCACUACAGUUGGAAACGACUGCUAAUACCGCAUAAGCCCACGAUCCGGCAUCGGAUUGAGGGAAAAGGAUUUAUUCGCUUCAGGAUGGACUCGCGUCCAAUUAGCUAGUUGGUGAGGUAACGGCCCACCAAGGCGACGAUUGGUAGCCGGACUGAGAGGUUGAACGGCCACAUUGGGACUGAGACACGGCCCAGACUCCUACGGGAGGCAGCAGUGGGGGAUAUUGCACAAUGGGGGAAACCCUGAUGCAGCGACGCCGCGUGGAGGAAGAAGGUUUUCGGAUUGUAAACUCCUGUCGUUAGGGACGAUAAUGACGGUACCUAACAAGAAAGCACCGGCUAACUACGUGCCAGCAGCCGCGGUAAAACGUAGGGUGCAAGCGUUGUCCGGAAUUACUGGGUGUAAAGGGAGCGCAGGCGGACCGGCAAGUUGGAAGUGAAAACUAUGGGCUCAACCCAUAAAUUGCUUUCAAAACUGCUGGCCUUGAGUAGUGCAGAGGUAGGUGGAAUUCCCGGUGUAGCGGUGGAAUGCGUAGAUAUCGGGAGGAACACCAGUGGCGAAGGCGACCUACUGGGCACCAACUGACGCUGAGGCUCGAAAGCAUGGGUAGCAAACAGGAUUAGAUACCCUGGUAGUCCAUGCCGUAAACGAUGAUUACUAGGUGUUGGAGGAUUGACCCCUUCAGUGC